AAGUAAUAUUUGUUAAGUCGUUCGUUUUUUGAUUAUUGAAAAAGAAGAAGGAGAAAAUGGAUUGAUUGAUACAGGGAUCCAGGAGGUUCCGAAAAAGGGACAAUGAUUCGACUGAAUGUGCCAUUCAUUUACAUGUACCAGUAUAAAUCUGUUACUGACACAUAUCCAAUAAUUCUUAUACUCAUGAAGAGUGUGGCAUAUUCCAAGAAUUGAUGCUGGGACUCAUUUUAAAUCAGAUGCUCACUUCUAGGAUGUUUCCAAGUUCUUGUUAAAAGUGUUUUAUAUGGCACCAUUCAGCUACAAAUAUUUUGCCAAUGGAACUGUGACAUCAAUCAACUGCUCAUGCACUGCUAAUUGGCAGAGAAUUUCCUUUGGGACAAGCAAACUGUUUCAAACAUUUUACACCUGCAAGUAGUGAUGAAUGUACUGGAAGGUUGUUAGGAUCUCUUCCAACAUCAUAGGUACAACUGGUCACUGUGCUUGCUUGGUUAUAUAAGCUGGCCUAUUGUUAAGGCAGUGACAUAUGUAGCUCCAAAUGAUGCUUGACUGUUUUUCUUCAAAUUAUAAGUAAACCUGGAUUGAUCUCUGAUGCAGUAGUAUUGUGCCAUGUCCAUUUUUUAAAUUCUAUCUUCCCACUGUCACAAAGUACUGAAAUAAAAAUGAUUUGAUUUUAAA